rnacentral:rRNA from 1 species
AGUGAACGCUGGCGGCGUGCUUAACACAUGCAAGUCGAACGAGAACGGGUUAUAGCUUGCUAUAAUUGUCAGCUAAGUGGCGCACGGGUGAGUAAUGUAUAGGUAAUAUGCCUCUUACUAAGGGAUAACAAAUGGAAACGUUUGCUAAUACCUUAUACUCCUUAUUAACAGAAGUUAAUAAGGGAAAGAUUUAUUGGUAAGAGAUUAGCCUGUAUUGUAUCAGUUAGUUGGUGGGGUAAUGGCUUACCAAGACUAUGACACAUAACUGGUUUGAGAGGAUGAUCAGUCACACUGGAACUGAGACACGGUCCAGACUCCUACGGGAGUCAGCAGUGGGGAAUAUUGCACAAUGGACGAAAGUCUGAUGCAGCAACGCCGCGUGGAGGAUGACACAUUUCGGUGCGUAAACUCCUUUUAUAUGAGAAGAUAAUGACGGUAUUAUAUGAAUAAGCACCGGCUAACUCCGUGCCAGCAGCCGCUGUAA